GUUGCUGAUUUGUCCAGGCUGGGCUGGAACUUUCGAUCCUCCUGCCUCAGCCUCUCACAGUGCCGUGGUGACGGACACGCGCUCCUGUGCCUGGCUGCACCAAUGCUUUAAGCCGCUGGAGUCGUGUUAGGACCGACCGGAAGGCCGCUGUCACUGGCCAAAGCGGGAGAACGCCAAAACAGGGAAGACCCCCAUCACGGCACUCCUCACCCCUGCAGUGCCUCCUGGUUUAGAGGCUCGCGAUCCUCCUUUUCCAGCUGUCAUCCCUGGAGGAUCGAGGUGAGUUUGAGGCCAGCCUGGGCUACAGAGUGAGACCCUGAAUCAAAUCAAUCAAUCAGUCAAUUGUUGCACAUCUGCCAGGUAUGAGGUGCAUACCUGUCAUCCCCGCCACUCUGGUGGCUGAAGCAGGAGGAUCUCAAGUUCACGUGCAGCCUGGGCAGCUUGCUGAGACUGCCUCAGAAUAAAUACUGUGAUACAAA